rnacentral:lncRNA from 1 species
UAUAGGGACCUCAGUCGCUACGGGUAUUCGAAAUUUUAUCCGAACUCGAAUGAAGCAGAUAUAUUUAAUGCUAAAUAAAUAUGAAUACGGUUAUGGGUAUUAAAAAUAAAAAUCCGACGAAUAUAAAUUUGGAUAUAAAUUUUAACUGCACCCGACAUGAACCAGAACCAGAACCCAAACCCGAAUCUGAACCCAACCCAAAUUCGAAUUUAUUUUGCAUUAUAUAUAAUAUAUAUACUAGUGUAGGGACCUGUAUCAGGUAGAUAAUAGAAGUAAAAUUUUAAAAUUUUAAUAAAAUUUAUAUCUACAGUUUAUUAAUGUAUAGAAAGCUAUAUCAUGUUAAGUACAGUCAAUUUGUAUGACAAAAUUCAACUGAUAAAAAAUAAAAUUAUAGUUAGAAGCUUUUAUAAUUUUUUAAAAAUUAUCGAUAUACAGUAAGAGACAUAUAAUUUUAUCGUAUUAUAUACCUCUUGAACAUUUCGUUGUGAAAGAUAAAAAAUAGCUAGCUCUAGUUGAAUCAAGUAUCUCUGUCCAAACAUCAAAACAAAUUAAGGGCAUAAAACACAUAAAUAAUAAGUUAACCUAUUUGGCUUAAAAGAAUUUUGGGUGAGAUCUCAAGCUUUAAUCUCAACAUCAUACUUUUUAAUCUACAAAAGAGAUUUUAUCCACAAUAGUGCUUACUCAAAAAAAUAGUCAUAGUAUAAAAAAUAAAACAAAAACAUAAAUUAAAAAGAAAACAAAUAUUUUUUUGGAGCACUUCUUCAUCCACACAAGCUUGCUCAUCAAAAUCUCAUACAUCUUCUUAAUUUUCAACUGGUAGUUGCUUCCCGCGCGGAGUCACUUCUGGAUUACCAUUGCGACCUAUGAACACAUAACUCAUCUGUAUCACCAAACUGCGAUAUUUAAACUGACACAGUCUUACCAUCACAUCAACCAUAGAAACCCUAAUUCUCAAACAAUUUGGAUUUACCAAGAAGUUCCUGCGAUCCUCGAGAAGCGAGCUCCCGCACAACGUCCGCUUGAAGAGGAGGCUUAAGACGCUGCUCGCCUCGGCGCAAUUGUGUGUAGUAUCCCUGAGGUUUGGUUGUCUGUGAGAUUUCAGCAUUUGAGACUUGUCGGCACAUCUAGAGAGUAUCGGAACAAGUCAGAGUCAUUUUGGCGCGAAAUAGACGCAAAACGAAUUUUGUGCAACGCGAGAGCAGAGUUUUAAUAUUAGAAUCUGCAAAGUGUAUGUUUUCAGUAUUCAGUACCGGUACCACACAGGGGAGUAUCGGUA